GACAGCGGUAAUAGCACAUUGAAUGCACCAGUUUCCAACGAAUCACUGAAGUUAAGAAAGGUUGUGCAUAGUUGGUAUCCAGACACGUGACCGCUGGGA
rnacentral:rRNA from 1 species